CCCUAUCUCAUUUUAGUUUCUCUCUCUUCCUUUCGCUCUCUCUUUCUUCACUGGCCUCUCAGUUUUCUCUUCGUCAUCGACAAUUCGAGAUCGCCAAGGAGACCGCCAAGGACUGGGUUAAGCUCACCGUCCAAAACUGUCAAGCCAAGGUCUCGGUGGUCCCCUCUACCGCCUCUUUGGGAUCUGCGUUUUGCUUGGAGCCGGAUCGCGACCACAAAAUUUCAACUGCUUCAGAUUCGUUUUCUCUACCUUCUUCCUUCACACAUCUCUCAGCCGGAGCUUCCUCCUUUCCCUCCAGAUCCAGUUAUGAUUAAAUCUUUUGUAAAGAUCCAAUAUUGGGGCCGCUAAGUUUGUGAAGGAGAUGGGGCUCAAUUAUCUAGCUGCACUUAGCAAUAUCACCAAUUUCAAAAGAGAGGCUUUUGGCUUUAAGAGAAGACGCAAGUUGAUUGAAGGUUGGAUGGCCAAACCAAUAUGGAAGCAGGCUGACCCUCGAUUUGUAUGGAACAAAAAUCUUUUGGAUGAACUUAUCG